UACGGGGGGGGGCAAGCGGUUGUUCGGAAUUACUGGGCGUAAAGGGCGCGUAGGCGGCCUGCUAAGUCGGAUGUGAAAUCCCUCGGCUCAACCGAGGAACUGCAUCCGAUACUGGCGGGCUUGAAUCCGGGAGAGGGAUGUGGAAUUCCAGGUGUAGCGGUGAAAUGCGUAGAUAUCUGGAGGAACACCGGUGGCGAAGGCGGCAUCCUGGACCGGUAUUGACGCUGAGGCGCGAAAGCUAGGGGAGCAAACAGG
rnacentral:rRNA from 1 species